rnacentral:lncRNA from 1 species
UCUCGGCUGUCCCUGAACUUUUUCUUUCAUCUAAAAAAAAUUCUUCAAUAAAUUCAUAAAAAUUAUGGGAACUUGCCUAGACAUUUCUUAACAAUAUUCUUAAUAAAACAUAUAAAUUUCUCAAUUAAAUUGUUAAGAUAAAUGGAAUUAUACUCUAGUGUUUUGUAUUCAUCAAAAUCCAUUAGGGGGUCAACAAUCUCCCCCUUUUUGAUGAUGACAAAACACUGAGUAUAUGCAAAAUUUGAAAUUUAAACAUAUACACAGUAUUUGCUCAGAUGUACAGGUAUAAUGUUUUGAUUAAAACUAGAUACAAUGUGAAAUGAAAUAUUGAUGCUAAAGAUAAUUGAAAGCUAAGUUCUUUUUGACUCCCCCUUUCUUUUCCAGAAGGGCAAUUAUCUUAAAGCCAAUAUCCUUCAAUUUUAUCUCUUCUAAUUCAACUUUUAAGCAUGAAUUUUGUAUUUUGCAUUCCAAUGUAUCCAUAUUGGUUCUACUCCCCUUA